GCUUCGGUAGUGCAGUGGGUCAGCAUGGCAGACCGGGUAUCUGUAAGUGAGGGUUCGAGUGUCUUCUGAUGUU
rnacentral:tRNA from 1 species